GACGAACGCUGGCGGCGUGCCUAAUACAUGCAAGUAGAACGCACAGUUUAUACCGUAGCUUGCUACACCAUAGACUGUGAGUUGCGAACGGGUGAGUAACGCGUAGGUAACCUGCCUGGUAGCGGGGGAUAACUAUUGGAAACGAUAGCUAAUACCGCAUAAUAUUGAUUAUUGCAUGAUAAUUGAUUGAAAGAUGCUAUUGCAUCACUACCAGAUGGACCUGCGUUGUACUAGCUAGUAGGUGAGGUAACGGCUCACCUAGGCGACGAUACAUAGCCGACCUGAGAGGGUGAUCGGCCACACUGGGACUGAGACACCGCCCAGACUCCUACGGGAGGCAGCAGUAGGGAAUCUUCGGCAAUGGACGAAAGUCUGACCGAGCAACGCCGCGUGAGUGAAGAAGGUUUUCGGAUCGGAAAGCUCUGUUGUAAGAGAAGAACGGGUGUGAGAGUGGAAAGUUCACACUGUGACGGUACCUUACCAGAAAGGGACGGCUAACUACGUG
rnacentral:rRNA from 1 species